rnacentral:lncRNA from 1 species
UUCGCGGUCGAUGAUGUAAUAUUGAUUGCGAUGCCAUCAGCAUCGGAAGGAUCGGGAAUCAAGGGUAAACAAGAAGCCAAAUAGAAAUCACCGCCACCAGCCUCGACCAAAUCGGAGAAGGAAGAGGAAGAGGAAAAUUUUUUGACCCCUCGAAUUUUGUUAUUCCGAAAGAUUCCAACGCCAUCAAAUCAACACUCAAAGAGCUGGAGUAGGUUAUAUUGAACGAUCACCUGCUCGAGCGAAAGGUAUACCUGGGAACAGGGUUAACCCCCAAACUUAAGAAAAGCUUAUUCACUUUCUUAUUGAUAACAUAGAUUGUUUUGCUUGGUCCC